UACGUAGGGGGCGAGCGUUGUCCGGAAUCAUUGGGCGUAAAGCGCGUGUAGGCGGCCCGGUAAGUCCGCUGUGAAAGUCCAGGGCUCAACCCUGGAAAGCGGGUGGAUACUGCCGGGCUAGAAUCCGGAAGAGGCGAGUGGAAUUCCUGGUGUAGCGGUGGAAUGCGCAGAUAUCAGGAGGAACACCAAUAGCGAAGGCAGCUCGCUGGGACGGUAUUGACGCUAAGGCGCGAAAGCGUGGGGAGCAAACAGG
rnacentral:rRNA from 1 species